rnacentral:rRNA from 1 species
UCCGUAGGGUGCAAGCGUUGUCCGGAAUUAUUGGGCGUAAAGAGUUCGUAGGCGGUUACUUAAGUCUGGUGUUAAAGCCCGAUGCUCAACGUCGGCAUGGCAUUGGAAACUGGGUAGCUAGAGUGUGUCAGAGGUUACGGGAAUUCCUGGUGUAGCGGUGAAAUGCGUAGAUAUCAGGAGGAACACCUGUGGCGAAAGCGCGUAACUGGGGCAUAACUGACGCUGAGGAACGAAAGCCAGGGUAUCCAAAGGG